rnacentral:misc_RNA from 1 species
GAUGAAGAACGUAGUGAAAUGCGAUAAGUAAUGUGAAUUGCAGAAUUCAGUGAAUCAUCGAAUCUUUGAACGCACAUUGCGCCCGCCAGUAUUCUGGCGAGCAUGCCUGUUCGAGCGUCAUUUCAACCAUCAAGCCCCAGGCUUGUGUUGGAGCCCUGCGGCUGCCGCAGCCUCCCAAAACCAGUGGCGGGCUCGCUAUCACACCGAGUGCAGUAGUUUACUCUUCGCUCAGGGCGUGUGGCGGGUGCUAGCCGUGAAACCCACAACUUCUCAAGGUUGACCUCGGAUCAGGUAGGAAUACCCGCUGAACUUAAGCAUAUCAAUAAGCGGAGGA